rnacentral:tRNA from 1 species
GAGGUUGUGGCUCAGUGGUAGAGCACUUGCCUGGCAUGUGUGAGGCAUUGGGUUCAAUUCUCAGCACCACA